rnacentral:rRNA from 1 species
AUUGAACGCUAGCGGCAUGCCUUACACAUGCAAGUCGAACGGAGUGGCGAACGGGUGCGUAAUGUAUCGGAACGUGCCCCGUCCCGGGGGAUGAGUACGCGAAAGCGUAACUAAUACCGCAUACUUGUGGUGCGGCCGUUAUCGGAUUAGCUGGUUGGGGGGGUAACGGCUCACCAUGGCGACGAUCCGUAGCUGGUUUGAGAGGACGACCAGCCACACUGGGACUGAGACACGGCCCAGACUCCUACGGGAGGCAGCAGUGGGGAAUUUUGGACAAUGGGGGAAACCCUGAGCCAGCCAUCCCGCGUGUGCGAUGAAGGCCUUCGGGUUGUAAAGCACUUUUGGCAGGAAAGCGGUACCUGCAGAAUAAGCACCGGCUAACUACGUGCCAGCAGCCGCGGUAAUAC